UUGAAAACUGUGUGUCACUGCUGUUGCUGAUUCUUUCAGCAAGCUUCUUUUUUUUUUUACUUUUAAUGUGAGAUUUUCAUUUCCCCUCUAGAAAACGGCUGCUGUGUGUUGUUGUGGCUUCGGCUUGGGCAACAUGUGGUUCCUGUUGGGUGUGACACUACCAGUUUCUGAUUUUUAGGAGGGGUUGAACUUCAUCCUAGUUCAGCAUGAAUAAUCUAAGACAAUAUGAGUCUCCAGCUGAGAGUGAUGUAAGACAUUCUAGACGCUCCAUCAACCUUGUCAUUUGGAAUAUUUGAGAGCUCGUUGUUGAAAUCUGUGGUUAAAUCGAACUGACUGGAAAAGCCAACAAUGACAUCCACACAAAGAAGUGGUUGGCAUUGGACUGUGAAGGUGUCAUUACUGGAGCUGCAAUGACAACAAUGUAGAUGCAUAUUUGAGAUGCAAAUUAAUAAUGAAAAUGUAAUGAUAGAGUACAGAUCUGUCUGUGUGUCUAAAUGAGGACUAAUUGUUGAUUUGAGUACAGAUCUGUCUGUGUGUCUAAAUGAGGACUAAUUGUUGAUUUGAGUACAGAUCUGUCUGUGUGUCUAAAUGAGGACUAAUUGUUGAUUUGAGUACAGAUCUGUCUGUGUGUCUAAAUGAGGACUAAUUGUUGAUUUGAGUACAGAUCUGUCUGUGUGUCUAAAAGAAGACUAAUUGUUGAUUUGAGUACAGAUCUGUCUGUGUGUCUAAAUGAGGACUAAUUGUUGAUUUGAGUAUUCAGCCAGGACUCAGGAACAACUGUCAACAACACUGAAUCCUAAUCAGGGCUGAAUGACUCCUUAAAUAACUCUCAUCAAAGUCACAUUGACUGUAAUGAAGCAUCACCAUCAGGGACAAACCAUUGGGAACAAACAGCUAGACCUCGUCCAAUGCAACAACAAAGAGCUGGCAUCCAGCAGAACAUGUAGGCUAUUGUGUGUGACUGUAGGAAAAACAAAUACGAGUUUAGACCUACAGUGAUAUCAUUUGUAGCUGUUAUUUAUUCAAAAUAUUUUGCUGUUACCUUUUAUUUCACCAAGAGUUGCAGGUAGAUUUCAAUGGUUAACCCAUUUGUACAAGUCCUGUUGGAUAUGUGGGUUUUAACCCAGAAGAUCGGUUGCUUUCAGAUACAAAAUGUGUAUGUUUCACAGCCUACAGCCAGGCCAAUGUACUACUCCUCCAGCUCUACUCAUAGUGCUGCGUCUUGUGGACUGGUGACGGGUGCAUGUUUCGGCAGGUGAGAACAAGGUAAAUGUUGAGGCAUGUAAAAUCACUCCAAACAAAAAUACAUAUGUUUGUACCACUAAUGGUAGUUACAUUCAA